rnacentral:rRNA from 1 species
UACGUAGGGGGGCUAGCGUUGUCCGGAAUCAUUGGGCGUAAAGAGCGUGUAGGCGGUCCGGUAAGUCCGUUGUGAAAGUCAAGGGCUCAACCCUUGAAUGCCGGCGGAUACUGUCGGGCUAGAGUCCGGAAGAGGCGAGUGGAAUUCCCGGUGUAGCGGUGAAAUGCGCAGAUAUCGGGAGGAACACCUAUGGCGAAGGCAGCUCGCUGGGACGGUACUGACGCUGAGACGCGAAAGCGUGGGGAGCGAACAGG